UACCUGCAGUCGAGCGAGAAAGUGGAGCAAUCCAUGAGUACAGCGGCGUACGGGUGAGUAACACGUGGAUAAUCUACCUUUUAGUGGGGAAUAACCCUGGGAAACCGGGGCUAAUACCGCAUAAGCCUGAGAAGGGAAAGCAGUAAUGCGCUGAAAGAGGAGUCCGCGGCCGAUUAGCUAGUUGGUGAGGUAAAGGCUCACCAAGGCGGUGAUCGGUAGCCGGCCUGAGAGGGCACACGGCCACACUGGCACUGAAACACGGGCCAGACUCCUACGGGAGGCAGCAGUGGGGAAUCUUGCACAAUGGAGGCAACUCUGAUGCAGCGACGCCGCGUGAGCGAUGAAGCCCUUCGGGGUGUAAAGCUCUUUCGGCAGGGACGAUAAUGACGGUACCUGAAGAAGAAGCUGCGGCUAACUACGUGCCAGCAGCCGCGGUAAUACGUAGGCAGCGAGCGUUGUUCGGAAUUACUGGGCGUAAAGAGUGUGUAGGCGGUGCUCUAAGUUCGGUGUGAAAUCUCCUGGCUCAACUGGGAGGGUGCGCCGGAAACUGGAGUGCUUGAGCGUGGGAGAGGAAAGCGGAAUUCCUGGUGUAGCGGUGAAAUGCGUAGAUAUCAGGAGGAACACCUGUGGUGUAGACGGCUUUCUGGACCAUAGCUGACGCUGAGACACGAAAGCGUGGGUAGCAAACAGGAUUAGAUACCCUGGUAGUCCACGCCCUAAACGAUGCAUACUUGGUGUCGGCCAUUCAGUUGGUCGGUGCCGGAGCUAACGCGUUAAGUAUGCCGCCUGGGGAGUACGGUCGCAAGGCUGAAAACUCAAAAGGAAUUGACGGGGGCCCGCACAAGCGGUGG
rnacentral:rRNA from 1 species